rnacentral:rRNA from 1 species
UGAGGAAUUUUCUGCAAUGGGCGAAAGCCUGACAGAGCAAUACCGCGUGAGGGAUGAAGGCCUACGGGUUGUAAACCUCUUUUCUCAAGGAGGAAGAUCUGGCGUUACUUGAGGAAUAAGCAUCGGCUAACCCUGUGCCAGCAGCCGCGGUAAUACAGGGGAUGCAAGUGUUAUCCGGAAUUAUUGGGCGUAAAGCGUCUGCAGGUUGAUAUUUAAGUCUUUUGUUAAACCUCCGGGCUCAACCCGGAAUCUGCAAAGGAAACUAUAUAUCUUGAGUAUGGUAGGGGUAAAGGGAAUUUCCAGUGGAGCGGUGAAAUGCGUAGAUAUUGGAAAGAACACCAACAGCGAAGGCACUUUACUGGGCCAGUACUGACACUCAGAGACGAAAGCUAGGGGAGCAAACA